AUGCACGCUGGCGGCGUGCCUAAUCCCUGCAAGUCGAGCGAACAGACGAGGAGCUUGCUCCUCUGACGUUAGCGGCGGACGGGUGAGUAACACGUGGAUAACCUACCUAUAAGACUGGGAUAACUUCGGGAAACCGGAGCUAAUACCGGAUAAUAUAUUGAACCGCAUGGUUCAAUAGUGAAAGACGGUUUUGCUGUCACUUAUAGAUGGAUCCGCGCCGCAUUAGCUAGUUGGUAAGGUAACGGCUUACCAAGGCGACGAUGCGUAGCCGACCUGAGAGGGUGAUCGGCCACACUGGAACUGAGACACGGUCCAGACUCCUACGGGAGGCAGCAGUAGGGAAUCUUCCGCAAUGGGCGAAAGCCUGACGGAGCAACGCCGCGUGAGUGGUGAAGGUCUUCGGAUCGUAAAACUCUGUUAUUAGGGAAGAACAAAUGUGUAAGUAACUAUGCACGUCUUGACGGUACCUAAUCAGAAAGCCACGGCUAACUACGUG
rnacentral:rRNA from 1 species